rnacentral:rRNA from 1 species
GCGAAAACUUUACAAUGCUGGCAACAGCGAUAAGGGAACCUAGAGUGCCAGGUUACAAAUCUGGCUGUCGAGAUGCCUAAAAAGCAUUUCAUAGCAAGGGCCGGGCAAGACCGGUGCCAGCCGCCGCGGUAACACCGGCGGCUCGAGUGGUAACCGUUAUUAUUGGGUCUAAAGGGUCUGUAGCCGGCCGGAUAAGUCUCUUGAGGAAUCUGGCAGCUUAACUGUCAGGCUUUCAGGAGAUACUGUCUGGCUCGAGGCCGGGAGAGGUGAGAGGUACUUCAGGGGUAGGGGUGAAAUCUUGUAAUCCUUGAAGGACCACCAGUGGCGAAGGCGUCUCACCAGAACGGACCUGACGGCAAGGGACGAGAGCUAGGGGCACGAACC